rnacentral:lncRNA from 1 species
UGGGUUUUAAAAAGCCCGAGGCGCACGAGGCGCAAACAUGCCUCGGAGCCUAGGCGCAGGGCUUUAAGCGCAGGCGCGGGCUUUUCGUAGGCGAGGCGCAGUAAAGCCUAAAAAAUUCUAAUAUAUUUACCUACAUUAUAUUUUAUACCAAAAACACAACUUAAAACCACAAAUAGUACUUAAACACACAUAUACUUAAUCCAAAACACACAAAUACUUAAUCCAAAACACACAAAUACUUAAGUUUUAAAAUAUGCAAGUCUAAAAGUACGAUCAAAUAUCAAACAAGUAAUCAAAAAUCAUCAUCCUCAAGUCCAUCAUCCUCAAAUGCGUCAUCCCCAUCAUCUUUGUCUUCACCAAUGUCCUCUUCCAUCUCAUUCACUUCCCUCUCCUCAUCUUCAUCCUCAUCUAAAAGCCUUCUCGAACUCGAAGCAACUACACUCUUUCCUUUAUCAACUCUAGAUGCCCGUCUAGUGCUAUAAAUAGGAUCAUUAGCUCCCGAAGCCUUACUAACGACAUUCCAUGUCAAAUCACC